AAUAGAUACCCGGGUAGUCCAUGCCGUAAACGUUGGGAACUAGGUGUGGGUCUCAUUCCACGAGAUCCGUGCCGCAGCUAACGCAUUAAGUUCCCCGCCUGGGGAGUACGGCCGCAAGGCUAAAACUCAAAGGAAUUGACGGGGGCCCGCACAAGCGGCGGAGCAUGCGGAUUAAUUCGAUGCAACGCGAAGAACCUUACCAAGGCUUGACAUACACCGGAAUCACUCAGAGAUGGGUGCGUCUUCGGACUGGUGUACAGGUGGUGCAUGGUUGUCGUCAGCUCGUGUCGUGAGAUGUUGGGUUAAGUCCCGCAACGAGCGCAACCCUCGUUCUAUGUUGCCAGCACGUGAUGGUGGGGACUCAUAGGAGACUGCCGGGGUCAACUCGGAGGAAGGUGGGGAUGACGUCAAAUCAUCAUGCCCCUUAUGUCUUGGGCUUCACGCAUGCUACAAUGGCCCGUACAAAGGGCUGCGAAACCGCGAGGUGGAGCGAAUCCCAAAAAACCGGUCUCAGUUCGGAUUGGGGUCUGCAACUCCG
rnacentral:rRNA from 1 species